CCUACGGGAGGCAGCAGUGGGGAAUAUUGGACAAUGGGGGGAACCCUGAUCCAGCCAUGCCGCGUGUGUGAAGAAGGCCUUAUGGUUGUAAAGCACUUUAAGCGAGGAGGCGUUACUCGCAGAAUAAGCACCGGCUAACUCUGUGCCAGCAGCCGCGGUAAUACAGAGGGUGCGAGCGUUAAUCGGAUUUACUGGGCGUAAAGCGUGCGUAGGCGGCUUUUUAAGUCGGAUGUGAAAUCCCCGAGCUUAACUUGGGAAUUGCAGUCGAUACUGGGAAGCUAGAGUAUGGGAGAGGAUGGUAGAAUUCCAGGUGUAGCGGUGAAAUGCGUAGAGAUCUGGAAGAAUACCGAUGGCGAAGGCAGCCAUCUGGACUAAACUGACGCUGAGGUACGAAAGCAUGGGGAGCAAACAGGAUUAGAUACCCUAGUAGUA
rnacentral:rRNA from 1 species